rnacentral:rRNA from 1 species
UGCAGUCGAACGAUGAACCUCCUUCGGGAGGGGAUUAGUGGCGAACGGGUGAGUAACACGUGGGCAAUCUGCCGUGCUCUCUGGGACAAGCCGUGGAAACGGGGUCUAAUACCGGAUACUGACCCGCUUGGGCAUCCAAGCGGCUCAAAAGCUCCGGCGGUGCGAGAUGACCCCGCGGCCUAUCAUCUUGUUGGUGAGGUAGUGGCUCACCAGGGCGACCACGGGUAGCCGGUCUGAGAGGGCGACCGGCCACACUGGGACUGACACACGGCCCACACUCCUACGGGAGGCAACAGUGGGAAAUUUUGCACUGUGGGCAAAAGCCUGAUGCAGCCACCCCGCGUGAGGGAAGACGGCCUUCGGGUUGUAAACCUCUUUCAGCGGGGAAAAAGCAAAUGUGACGGUCCCUGCAAAAAAAGCCCCGGCUAUCUACGUGCCAACACCCGCGGUAAUACAUAGGGCGCGAGCGUUGUCCGGAAUUAUUGGGCGUAAAGAUCUCAUACGCGGUUUGUCACGUCUGUUGUGAAACCCCGGGUCUUAACCCCGGGUCUGCACUCUAUACGGGCAGGCUAGAGUUCGGUAGGAGAGAUCGGAUUUCCUGGUGUAGCGGUGAAGUGCACAUAUCUC